rnacentral:rRNA from 1 species
ACGCUGGCGGCAGGCCUAACACAUGCAAGUCGAGCGGUAGAGAGAAGCUUGCUUCUCUUGAGAGCGGCGGACGGGUGAGUAAUGCCUAGGAAUCUGCCUGGUAGUGGGGGAUAACGUCCGGAAACGGACGCUAAUACCGCAUACGUCCUACGGGAGAAAGCAGGGGACCUUCGGGCCUUGCGCUAUCAGAUGAGCCUAGGUCGGAUUAGCUAGUUGGUGGGGUAAUGGCUCACCAAGGCGACGAUCCGUAACCGGUCUGAGAGGAUGAUCAGUCACACUGGAACUGAGACACGGUCCAGACUCCUACGGGAGGCAGCAGUGGGGAAUAUUGGACAAUGGGCGAAAGCCUGAUCCAGCCAUGCCGCGUGUGUGAAGAAGGUCUUCGGAUUGUAAAGCACUUUAAGUUGGGAGGAAGGGCAGUAAAUUAAUACUUUGCUGUUUUGACGUUACCGACAGAAUAAGCACCGGCUAACUCUGUGCCAGCAGCCGCGGUAAUACAGAGGGUGCAAGCGCUAAUCGGAAUUACUGGGCGUAAAGCGCGCGUAGGUGGCUCGUUAAGUUGGAUGUGAAAUCCCCGGGCUCAACCUGGGAACUGCAUUCAAAACUGACGAGCUAGAGUAUGGUAGAGGGUGGUGGAAUUUCCUGUGUAGCGGUGAAAUGCGUAGAUAUAGGAAGGAACACCAGUGGCGAAGGCGACCACCUGGACUGAUACUGACACUGAGGUGCGAAAGCGUGGGGAGCAAAC